AUUGAACGCUGGCGGAAUGCUUUACACAUGCAAGUCGAACGGCAGCACGGACUUCGGUCUGGUGGCGAGUGGCGAACGGGUGAGUAAUAUAUCGGAACGUGCCCAGUCGAGGGGGAUAACGUAGUGAAAAUUACGCUAAUACCGCAUACGAUCUAUGUAUGAAAGCGGGGGACCUUUGGGCCUCGCGCGAUUGGAGCGGCCGCAAUCAGAUUAGGUAGUUGGUGGGGUAAAGGCUCACCAAGCCAACGAGCUUUAGGUGGUCUGAGAGGACGGCCAGCCACACUGGGACUGAGACACGGCCCAGACUCCUACGGGAGGCAGCAGUGAGGAAUUUUGGACAAUGGACGCAAGUCUGAUCCAGCCAUUCCGCGUGCAGGAAGAAGGCCUUCGGGUUGUAAACUGCUUUUGUACAGAACGAAAAGGUUUAUACUAAUACUAGGAGCUCAUGACGGUACUGUAAGAAUGAGCACCGGCUAACUACGUGCCAGCCGCCGCCGUAA
rnacentral:rRNA from 1 species